rnacentral:rRNA from 1 species
CAAAUGACUCUCGGCAACGGAUAUCUCGGCUCACGCAUCGAUGAAGAACGUAGCAAAAUGCGAUACUUGGUGUGAAUUGCAGAAUCCCGUGAACCAUCGAGUUUUUGAACGCAAGUUGCGCCCGAAGCCUUUUGGUUGAGGGCACGUCUGCCUGGGCGUCACAC